UGGGGAAUAUUGCACAAUGGGCGAAAGCCUGAUGCAGCAACGCCGCGUGAGUGAUGAAGGCCUUCGGGUUGUAAAGCUCUGUCUUUUGGGACGAUAAUGACGGUACCAAAGGAGGAAGCCACGGCUAACUACGUGCCAGCAGCCGCGGUAAUACGUAGGUGGCAAGCGUUGUCCGGAUUUACUGGGCGUAAAGGAUGCGUAGGCGGAUUUUUAAGUGAGAUGUGAAAACCCUAAGCUAAUCUUGGGGACUGGCAUUUCAUCAUCUGGGAAAAUCUAGAGUGCGGGAGAGGAGAAUGGAAUUCCUAGUGUAGCGGUGAAAUGCGUAGAGAUUAGGAAGAACACCAGUGGCGAAGGCGAUUCUCUGGACCGUAACUGACGCUGAGGCAUGAAAGCGUGGGUAGCAAACAGGAUUAGAUACCCUGGUAGUCCACGCCGUAAACGAUGAGUACUAGGUGUAGGAGGUAUCGACCCCCUUCUGUGCCGCAGUUAAACACAAUAAGUACUCCGCCUGGGAAGUACGAUCGCAAGAUUAAAACUUAAAUGAAUUGACGGGGUCAUAGCUGUUUCCU
rnacentral:rRNA from 1 species